rnacentral:rRNA from 1 species
UGAGUACGAGCUGCUACGGCAGCGAAGUGGGUGAUGUCAAGCUUCCAAGAAAAGCCCUAUACCCGUUAAGGCAUGACGGCCUGUACCCGAAACCGACACAGGUGGGGUGGUAGAGAAUACCGAGGGGCGCGAGAUAACUCUCUCUAAGGAACUCGGCAAAAUGGCCCCGUAACUUCGGGAGAAGGGGUGCCACCGCAAGGCGGUCGCAGUGAAGAGGCCCAGGCGACUGUUUACCAAAAACACAGGUCUCCGCUAAGUCGCAAGACGAUGUAUGGGGGCUGACGCCUGCCCAGUGCCGGAAGGUUAAGGAAGCUGGUCAGCGCAAGCGAAGCUAGCGACUGAAGCCCCGGUGAACGGCGGCCGUAACUAUAACGGUCCUAAGGUAGCGAAGUUCCUUGUCGGGUAAGUUCCGACCCGCACGAAAGGCGUAACGAUCUGGGCGCUGUCUCGGAGAGAGGCUCGGCGAAAUAGAAUUGUCUGUGAAGAUGCGGACUACGUGCACCCGGACAGAAAGACCCUAUGAAGCUUUACUGUAGCUUGGUAUUGUGCCCGGGCUCUGAAUGCGCAGGAUAGGUGGGAGGCUUUGAUCCAUUGCUUGUGGGUAAUGGUGAGCCACUGGUGAGAUACCACUCUUUCAGAGCUAGGGUUCUAACGGUCACCCGUUAUCCGGGGACCGGACAGUAUCAGGUGGGCAGUUUGACUGGGCGGUCGCCUCCUAAAAGGUAACGGAGGCGCGCAAAGGUUCCCUCAGGCUGGUUGGAAAUCAGCCGACGAGUGUAAAGGCAGAAGGGAGCUUGACUGUGAGACCUACAAGUCGAACAGGGACGAAAGUCGGCCUUAGUGAUCCGACGGUUCUGAGUGGAAGGGCCGUCGCUCAACGGAUAAAAGUUACUCUAGGAUAACAGGCUGAUCUCCCCCAAGAGUUCACAUCGACGGGGAGGUUUGGCACCUCGAUGUCGGCUCAUCGCAACCUGGGGCUGAAGUCGGUCCCAAGGGUUGGGCUGUUCGCCCAUUAAAGCGGUACGCGAGCUGGGUUCAGAACGUCGUGAGACAGUUCGGUCCAUAUCCGGUGCACGCGCAGGAACAUUGAGAGGAUUUCUCCCUAGUACGAGAGGACCGGGAGGAACGCACCUCUGGUGUACCAGUUAUCGUGCCAACGGUAAACGCUGGGUAGCCAUGUGCGGAGCGGAUAACCGCUGAAAGCAUCUAAGUGGGAAGCCCACCUCAAGAUGAGUGUUCCCAUGGCAUAAGCCAGUAAGGUCACGGGAAGAACACCCGUUGAUAGGCUCUACGUGGAAGCGUGGCAACACGUGAAGCGGAGGAGUACUAAUAGACCGAGGGC